rnacentral:rRNA from 1 species
GUGAACGCUGGCGGCAGGCCUAACACAUGCAAGUCGAACGGCAGCACAAGAGAGCUUGCUCUCUGGGUGGCGAGUGGCGGACGGGUUAGGAAUGCAUCGGAAUCUGCCCAUUUGUGGGGGAUAACCUCGGGAAACCGGGACUAAUACCGCAUACGACCUACGGGUGAAAGCAGGGGAUCUUCGGACCUUGCGCAGAUGGAUGAGCCGAUGCCGGAUUAGCUAGUUGGAGGGGUAAAGGCCCACCAAGGCGACGAUCCGUAGCUGGUCUGAGAGGAUGAUCAGCCACACUGGGACUGAGACACGGCCCAGAGUACUAAGGGAGGCAGCAGUGGGGAAUAUUGGACAAUGGGCGCAAGCAUGAUCCAGCCAUGCCGCGUGUGUGAAGAAGGCCUUCGGGUUGUAAAGCACGUUUGUUGGGAAAGAAAAGCAGCCGGUUAAUACCCGGUUGUCAUGACGGUACCCAAAGAAUAAGCACCGGCUAACUUCGUG